UACGUAGGGUGCAAGCGUUAAUCGGAAUUACUGGGCGUAAAGCGUGCGCAGGCGGUUGUGCAAGACAGAUGUGAAAUCCCCCGGGCUCAACCUGGGAAUUGCAUUUGUGACUGCACGGCUAGAGUGUGUCAGAGGGGGGGUAGAAUUCCACGUGUAGCAGUGAAAUGCGUAGAGAUGUGGAGGAAUACCGAUGGCGAAGGCAGCCCCCUGGGAUAACACUGACGCUCAUGCACGAAAGCGUGGGGGAGCAAACAGG
rnacentral:rRNA from 1 species